rnacentral:rRNA from 1 species
AUUGAACGCUGGCGGCAGGCCUAACACAUGCAAGUCGAGCGGAGCGGCGGACGGGUGAGUAAUGCCUAGGAAUCUGCCUGGUCGUGGGGGAUAACGUCCGGAAACGGGCGCUAAUAUCGCAUACUAUCAGAUGAGACUAGGUCGGAUUAGCUAGUUGGGGGGGAAAAGGCCUACCAAGGAGACGAUCCGUAACUGGUCUGAGAGGAUGAUCAUUCACCCUGGAACUCAAACACGGUCCAGACUCCUACGGGAGGCAGCAGUGGGGAAUAUUGGCCAAUUGGCGAAAGCCUGAUCCAGCCAUCCCGCGUGUAUGAUGAAGGCCUUCGGGUUGUAAAGUCCUUUUGGCAGAGAAGCGGUAUCUGCAGAAUAAGCACCGGCUAACUACGUGCCAGCCGCCGCGGUAAUAC